rnacentral:lncRNA from 1 species
CAUCAUUCAAUAUAUAACAUACCAGUUAAAUAAAAUGAUUCAAACUACAAUUAAAUUAAUCAUUUACAAAUUAAACUAAUAAAAUAUAAUUAAUUCUGAAUCGGAUAAUCUGACGCGAUACAGUGAAAACUAAUAUCUCAUUAAACGGGACUAGAACAAGAAUAUUUUUUCAUAAUUCAAAAUAUCGAAUAUAUGACUUGAUCUUUAUCAAUUGAACAUGAUAUGCUACAUUAAUCACUCUUAAUAAAUACGAGUAUCAAAAUAUUUAAAAAAGUGAGUUUACACAAACCUAAAAAAGUAACUACACGACUAAUUGAACUAAAUAUUUCAUGGUUUUACGAGCUUCAUGAUGCCUAACUCACAUCUACUCUAUUUUUUCUAUUUGAAAUUCCAGAAAAUCAUUUGUUUGGGAUCUGGUUUAUAAGGAUUACAUGAAAAAUCAUUAAAAGUCUUAACCGACAAGCUAAAAAACUAAUUAUAGAAAAUUAAAAUUUUAUAACGAGAUAAUGUUAUAUCAUACUGUAUCAAAGUAAUAAUCAUCUAAUAUUUUUAAAUUAACAAUAUAAAUAUAAUACGUUGAAAUACUAUAUAAUUGAUAUGAAAAAUAAAAGGAUAAGACACAUCAAAGGUGUCAGAAAUUUUUGGGAUGCAAUUAUACGGUUAGUAGUUCAAUUGAUGCUUUUAUAAUAAAAUAAGGUAUGUGUCUUUUUACAUACAACUUAUGUUUCAAUUUCUACUUAUGCAAAUUGCAAAAGGGUUAAUUAUCAAGUUGGUCACUGAAAUGGGCUUAAUAUAUCAAGUUGGUCACUGAACUCAAAACGGUAUCAAGAUGGUCACUGAAGUGGCCAUAAAUAUCAAACAAGUAUCUGAUUGAUGCUUUUAUAAUAAAAUAAGGUAUGUGUCUUUUUACAUACAACUUAUGUUUCAAUUUCUACUUAUGCAAAUUGCAAAAGGGUUAAUUAUCAAGUUGGUCACUGAAAUGGGCUUAAUAUAUCAAGUUGGUCACUGAACUCAAAACGGUAUCAAGAUGGUCACUGAAGUGGCCAUAAAUAUCAAACAAGUAUCUGGAAAUAUAAGUUUAAGCAGUAAAAAUAUUAUUUAUAAAAUUUUACACAUUAUUUUUGAAUGUUACAAAAACCAAGUAAAAGGUUAUGCCUUCUAAUAUUUAUGAUAAUAUAUUUAGAUUUUAUCAAGUUUAUUUAUUAUUUAUUUUUAAUUAAUACAAAAAAAAUAAGUAUCUGGAAAUAUAAGUUUAAUCAGUAAAAAUAUUAUUUAUAAAAUUUUACACAUUACUUUUGAAUGUUACAAAAACCAAGUAAAAGGUUAUGCCUUCUAAUAUUUAUGAUAAUAUAUUUAGAUUUUAUCAAGUUUAUUUAUUAUUUAUUUUUAAUUAAUACAAAAAAAUAACUAUAUAAUAAAAU